rnacentral:lncRNA from 1 species
AAAGAUAUCUAAAUCUGCCAAACACACAAAUGCAAUAGUCAUACACAAAUAUCCCCCAUCACUUUCCUCUUUACGAUUCAAAUACACAGAAACCCUAAAUUUUGAGCAUUAACCUUGAUAAACAGUCGCAACAAUCAACCCCCUCCCCCUGCUCUAUACCUUGAUAAACAAUCGGCGGAAUGGUGGUCAUGGUCGGAUGCUGCCGGUGGUGGAGCGGAGGAGAUUGAUGGCGAUAACUGUGGCGGCCUUUGAAGAGAUUAGAGGUGGUGAUCCGAUGGGCGUGUGUGAAGGUGUUUGCUGGCGGCUGUUGGUGGUGUACGGAUACCUAAGUAACACAAGAGGUUCCGGUUUCAGAACUUGUUUUCUACCAUCGCACACCAGCCUCAAUGCUCGAGCCGUCGUCCCUUGAACCAACGUCUGAUGUCGUUUUUACAGACUUUUCUGUGAUUAAGUUCGGAAUGUAAGUAAAAGAGUGAGAGGACCAACGCGUAUGAAAUAAAGAAAAGUCUAAGUGUAAAAAACAAGGCGAAUCGGGCAAAGAAGAAGAUGGUUCAAGUAAGGGGUAAAAAAAAGUUAUGCUCGAGUCCGUGAAGAGCUAAAGGGACAAGAUCCAAGUCGAUUGGAAAUCUUUCGUGCAUGUUUCUCCAAAGAUGGAACUACCAAAAAUUUGGAAGCUUCAAAUGCAAUUGCACAGAUGCAACAACUUAGUUCUAAUCUUCCCGAGGGCUCGAUCGAGAAGCCUGGACCAGAUGAUGUUUUUUUCUAAAGUAAUGGGUAGCGAUCGAAAUGGUGAUGAGGUUAUGUAUGGCCUGGGUGUUCGUGUUGCUGAUGUUUGGGGUGUAAUACCAAGUUGUUCGGCAUGUCAUAGAGAAAACAUCCAAUUGAAGUCUCAAUGUGAAGAACUUACUAGUACUGUGGUCCAGUUACAAGCCCAAGUAUCAGAGAUGGAAGGGUCGAGGGGUAGUUCCAGUGUUCAACCUCUUACAUCACAACAUUUCCCCAAUGUAACCAAUGGACAUCAACGUUUACGGGUCGGAGAUAAAGUUUUCCUCAAAAGCAUUCUAAACUCUACCGAGACUAUAGCAAGCGGAAGGGUCCAGAGCUUGGACCCAAAUGAUCUAGUUGGUGGUACAGAGAUUGGACCAGAAUGGUGUGAGGUAAACGUUCAAGUACCAAUAAAAAAAGAUGAAAACUUGGUAAGACCAUAUGGUUUAUUUUCUACAAUUCAAGAUUGUAUUGGUGCAUCCAUCGCAUGGCUUUAUCCAUUCAUCUUGGUAGUCCAUGAGGAUUGAGGACGCAUGAUGACUCAAGAUUUCUAUGCUUCUUAUUUCUUUAAUUGCUUUUAAUUUCUUUGUUAGAUGUUAAGACUUUAUGUUAGAUAUUGUUAUAACUUAUUUAUGAUUAGUGUUUUUGUUAUGAACAUGAUUAUUUGAAAUAUAAUGAUUCUUUCAUUAGUUGAUGUU